rnacentral:rRNA from 1 species
CAUGCAGUCGAGGGGUAGAAGUCUUCGGACUUUGAGACCGGCGCACGGGUGCGUAACGCGUAUGCAAUCUGCCUUGUACAAAGGGAUAGCCCAGAGAAAUUUGGAUUAAUACCUUAUAGUAUAUCGAUGUGGCAUCACAAUGAUAUUAAAGAUUUAUCGGUACAAGAUGAGCAUGCGUCCCAUUAGCUAGUUGGUAUGGUAACGGCAUACCAAGGCAAUGAUGGGUAGGGGUCCUGAGAGGGAGAUCCCCCACACUGGUACUGAGACACGGACCAGACUCCUACGGGAGGCAGCAGUGAGGAAUAUUGGUCAAUGGGCGCAAGCCUGAACCAGCCAUGCCGCGUGCAGGAUGAAGCAUCUAUGGUGUGUAAACUGCUUUUGUACGGGAAGAAACAACUCUUCGUGAAGAGUCUUGACGGUACCGUAAGAAUAAGGAUCGGCUAACUCCGUGCCAGCAGCCGCGGUAAUACGGAGGAUCCAAGCGUUAUCCGGAAUCAUUGGGUUUAAAGGGUCCGUAGGCGGUUUUAUAAGUCAGUGGUGAAAUCCGGUAGCUUAACUAUCGAACGGCCAUUGAUACUGUAGAACUUGAAUUAUUGUGAAGUAACUAGAAUAUGUAGUGUAGCGGUGAAAUGCUUAGAUAUUACAUGGAAUACCAAUUGCGAAGGCAGGUUACUAACAAUACAUUGACGCUGAUGGACGAAAGCGUGGGGAGCGAACAGGAUUAGAUACCCUGGUAGUCCACGCCGUAAACGAUGGAUACUAGCUGUUUGGCAGCAAUGCUGAGUGGCUAAGCGAAAGUGAUAAGUAUCCCACCUGGGGAGUACGAACGCAAGUUUGAAACUCAAAGGAAUUGACGGGGGCCCGCACAAGCGGUGGAGCAUGUGGUUUAAUUCGAUGAUACGCGAGGAACCUUACCAGGGCUUAAAUGUAGUGUGACAGGACUGGAAACAGUUUUUUCUUCGGACACAUUACAAGGUGCUGCAUGGUUGUCGUCAGCUCGUGCCGUGAGGUGUCAGGUUAAGUCCUAUAACGAGCGCAACCCCUGUUGUUAGUUGCCAGCGAGUAAUGUCGGGAACUCUAACAAGACUGCCGGUGCAAACCGUGAGGAAGGUGGGGAUGACGUCAAAUCAUCACGGCCCUUACGUCCUGGGCUAMMACGUGCUACAAUGGCCGGUACRRARAGCAGCCCCUCSCGAGGGGGAGCGAAUCUWUAAAACCGGUCMNGUUCGGAUUGGAGUCUGCACCCGAC